UGCCAAUGAUGAGUUGCCAUGCUAAUACCGACACAGCAGCCAGGAACCUAUUGUUUCUGUGCUGGCAGUGGCUGAGUGUAGCCAACUUACUGAGGCAG